UAUUAAAAAUUUCAACAAUUUCUACUAUUAAAAACUGACAUGGCUGGCAAAAUAAUCAGAAAAUUGCACGUGGCAUAUAAGGAUCAGUUUUUAACAGUAGAAAUGGAUGAAUUUUUUAACA
rfam:Gossypium raimondii Chr13_contig_1086, whole genome shotgun sequence.